GUAGAACAUACCCACUUAAUGAUUGGGAUUUGCAACAUAACUAUAAUGCAGAAUUAUGUAUUCAUUGCCAUAUGCUACAACUCUCUCACCCUCUAAUCUGCUAUAGAAUCAGUAGGUAUAAAGUACUAAAUACUUGGAAUUAGUGAAAAAAAGAUUUGAGGAAAUUCUAAACAAUUAAAGAUACUCAAAUAUUCCUAAAGAUUCUCGAAUAUCCCUAAAACAGGUCUGUAGUGGAGUGUCCUCAUCUUCUAAGGGGUCAAAUCCCUAACAUUUAAAGUCUCUUUUGCAUUAAGUUUUGCAUUAAGAAGAAGUUGAAAAGAGGGAAAGAGAUAAGAAAGAAGAUGAAAAGAGAUAAAUA